GGUAGAGGGGGUUGGAACUAGAUGAUCUUAAGGUCCUUCCCAACCUAUUCUAUGAUUCUGUGAUUCUAUAUUCUAUAGGAUUUUCUACAUGGAUGAGGAAAAGCCCUUUAUUACCUGAAACAAGGCAAACCUGUCCAUGUAAAAGCCAUGGUGUGAAGCAACCCAUAACAUUUGGAAGCUGACUUUGGAGGUGCCGCCUUGUAAAUUACUUCAACAUCCACGUCAUUGAGAUAAUUGGCUGGAAACCUUAGAGAACCCAAUGCCGUGGUUACUGACAGGCUGUGAAGUUAACAUCCAUUUCCCUCCAUUCCUGGCAGUGAAGAAUUGCUGCCUUGCAACUGCUCUUUUGUGUAAGAUACAACUUUUGGCUCCUGCUGCCCUGGGAAUUCAGUGGGAGAUGAAAAUAGUGGGCAGGAGCACCUGCCCCUCCCAGAUGCUUCUCUGCCAGAGAAGAAACAGCCCUUCUUACUUGACAAGCUGAUUUUAGUGGUCUGUGGAUCAAACAGCUUCUAGAAUUUCACCACCAUGGAGGUCCAGCAUCUCGUUAUGAUGUCACAACCUAGUACAAAAGCAGGACUUCUUGAAGUUUCAUGCAAGUUUUUGAGUCUUUGAGUCUUGGGUAUGUGCAUGCAUGUGUGUGUGUGUGCAUUCACACAUAAGGGUUCAUGUGUCUGUGUUUGUGUGUUUAUGCCUAUACACUGCUAAAGGGAAGAGGCUAGGAAAUGGG